AUAUUGCACAAUGGGGGAAACCCUGAUGCAGCGACGCCGCGUGAGUGAAGAAGUAUUUCGGUAUGUAAAGCUCUAUCAGCAGGGAAGAAGAUGACGGUACCUGAGUAAGAAGCCCCGGCUAACUACGUGCCAGCAGCCGCGGUAAUACGUAUGGUGCAAGCGUUAUCCGGAUUUACUGGGUGUAAAGGGAGCGUAGACGGAGCAGCAAGUCUGGAGUGAAAACCCGGGGCUCAACCCCGGGACUGCUUUGGAAACUGUUGUUCUAGAGUGCUGGAGAGGUAAGUGGAAUUCCUAGUGUAGCGGUGAAAUGCGUAGAUAUUAGGAGGAACACCAGUGGCGAAGGCGGCUUACUGGACAGUAACUGACAUUGAGGCUCGAAAGUGUGGGUAUCAAACAG
rnacentral:rRNA from 1 species